UGGCAUAUGGAAGUUCCCAGCCAGGGGUCAAAUUAGAGCUGUAGCUGCUGGCCUAUGCCACAGCCAAAGCAACGUGGGAUCUGAGUCUCGUCUGCGACCUACACCACAGUUCACAGCAAUGCCGGAUCCUUAACCCACUGAGUGAGGCCAGGGAUUGAACCCACAUCCUCAUGGAUAUAUAACAAAUGGGAUUUUCCAAGAUGGCUGCAACAAGAUCUCCCAUCCUACAUGCUUUUCUUACAAAGUGACACUGCGGCUUCUCUCAUUGAGAAGUAGGUUCUAUGUUCCUACUCCUUGAAUAUGGGUGGGCAUGUGACUACAGAAGAAGAGAUGCUAUGUAACCCCUGAGAGUAAGUUAUAAAAGGUGAUGCAGCUUCCACGGUGGUCUUAACUGGGAUAUGUGCUCUUGGAACCCAACUGCCAUGCUAUGAGGAAGCCCAGGCCACAGGAAGAGGCCCCAUGUAGGUGUCCCAGUCAACGGCCUCAGGUGAGUUUCCAGCAGACAGCAGGCAGCAAUGGUCAGACAUCUGAGUAAGAAAAUUCCCAGGCAAAAUACUGAACUUUACACCUGGCUUGUUCUUAUGGUCUGUGAUAAAAUGUGAAAGGUAAGAGAUGAGCUAAAGAAAGCCCUGCCAGAUUUAAAGGAGAUAGGACUUUCUGAGUUUGAAGUAAUACUCUUUCUCAUCCACCUCCAGAUGACAAAUGAUUCCAAAAUUAAGAAAUGUCUUCUAAGAGAUCAAAUCUAGGGUAUAAAGUCAUAAAAAGUGUCAGGAAAAAGGGUCUAAAGGAGAACCCAAUGGUGUGAUUAUAAAAUGCUUUGUUGAGACCUUAAAACCAUCUAAGGCAGAUAGAUAAAAGGCUCCUGAGUAUGCCAAGGGCAUUGUCCCACAAGAGUCCCACCAAGAUGGAAAAAGCCUUACAAAUCUGCAAGAGAUUUAUAGAUACAGGCUUUUCUAAUGGAGUAGGUCAUCAAUGAAUACACAAACCCCCACUGUUUUAAAGAAAACUGUUCUGGCAGAAGCACCACCGGGUUGUACCAAAAGGGAUAGAGAUGUUGUAAAAUGAAAAGGUGCUUUUGGACAUCCAGCCUUUUGUGGACCAGAAGUAGGAUGAGAAGGAUGCCUAGCUGCAAACUCACUUCUUUUUUGGGAAAAAAAAUGACUUAGCAGGCAGAACUUAGAGCUUAGAGAGAGGAGCCAAGGACAACAAGGCAGUGGGCGUUGAUGUAUAAAACCUUUAAAAAGUUGCUAAACUUUUUCUCAAUAGAUAGAUAGGUAGAUUGAUAGAACAAUCGAUAGAUAGAUGAAUGAUAGAUUUGGAUCAUUCCAUCUAAAUAACCCAAUCAGCUGAAGUUUAAGGGAAAGCAGACAGUGGGGUUUGUUUUGGAAGAUGAGCCACAAAUAAUGCUGGCCUUGUACUUGUUCUAACAAAAUGUCCUUAAUGAUAAAACAAAGGAUGCUCCUGUGUGGCACUGCGGGUUAAGGAUCCAGCAAUGCUGCAGGUGCAAGCUGCAACUGCCUCUUGGGUUUGAUCCUUGGCUUGGGAAUUUCCACAAGCCGAUAGUGCGCCUUCCCCAUGCUCCCCGCAGAAAAAGACGUAUUUCCUGAAUCUAGUUGACAUCGUAUCUAUCAAAGGAAAGUUAUAAUAUGAAUCUCUUUAAGUUGAUUAAUUUAAGUUGGAAGCUGAGCAACUCUGGAAUAUUUCUUUUUUCCUGGCUCCACUUUUUGGCUAGAGCUAAGCUGAUAAAGAGACAGUGAUAAGAAGGAAGGAAAGGAACUUCAGAAAUGCCAUUACUUCACUUUCCAGAAGCUUCCAAAACAUCAAACCCUGACCUCACACUACCCUUCCUCUCAGAAAAAGUGGGUGGUGAAUCAGGGAGCUUCACUGAGACUCCAGUCCUGGCUGUGCCUCUGCUGUUUGGCUUAAUGUGCUAGAAGUUUCUCAGAAAGUGUUUGGAGAUUUACAUUUUGUUUAGGUUUUAGGGAAGAGGAGGCAGGCAUUAGCAUUUGUUGAGUGACCUAUCUAUCUAUCUAUCUAUCUAUCUAUCUAUCUAUCUAUCUAUCUAUCUAUCUAUCAUCUCUAUAUAUAGGGAGAUGGAGUUUGAAAGUACACUUCAGCUAGUUCCAAAUCCUGCAUUAUAAUUUCUCAAGUUUCAUUUAAAACUUUACAUUUCUGCUGACAUUCUUGUUUCUGUGUUUUUUGUUUUUUUUUUCCCUUCUGAAGCUGGUUUUUAAUGAGACUCUUACUGCUUGUGGGCAUUUAAACUAUGAAUUGUGAGAUUACCAGUGGAAUUGGAGUUGGAGAUACCUCAUCAUAUUUAGAUAGCUGGAGAGCCAGUCAAAUCACACUGUGAACUGUCACCUUUACCGCUGAUAAAUAGCUUUAAUCCCAUUCAAAUAUAUUCCACUUCCAAAGCUAUUCAUAACAUGGUUUGUCCUCCAUCAUCAAUUCUAUUCAUACAGGUUGCUAAAGCUCCCCAAAUUAUUCUCUCUCCUUUCAAUAGAUUAUUAGAAUAUAAUUAGUAAUAUAUCAAAGGUGUACCAGGGUUAACCAGAGUUAACCCUGGUUCCCACCUCCUCUCAAUAGAAACAGAUUAAAAAAUACCUCUACCUUAUAGAGUAUAAAGACAUGGCAAAGUCAUAUACAGGGUCAGUACAAGUCCUGCGAAUUGGAUUCAGAGGAACGAGUCCCCUCGCUGUAAACUGGGUUCAAUCACUUAAAUGGCAGAGCAAGUGAAAGAGAAAUAGCAAUAAGGACGUUUUGAUGUCA
rnacentral:lncRNA from 1 species